UCCUACCUGAUCCGAGGUCAACCUUGGGUUAAAAGGUGGUUUAACGGCCGGAACCCGCGGCGCGACCAGAGCGAGAUGUAUGCUACUACGCUCGGUGCGACAGCGAGCCCGCCACUGCUUUUCAGGGCCUGCGGCAGCCGCAGGUCCCCAACACAAGCCCGGGGGCUUGAUGGUUGAAAUGACGCUCGAACAGGCAUGCCCGCCAGAAUGCUGGCGGGCGCAAUGUGCGUUCAAAGAUUCGAUGAUUCACUGAAUUCUGCAAUUCACAUUACUUAUCGCAUUUCGCUGCGUUCUUCAUCGAUGCCAGAACCAAGAGAUCCGUUGUUGAAAGUUUUGACUUAUUCAGUACAGAAGACUCAGAGAGGCCAUAAAUUAUCAAGAGUUUGGUGACCUCCGGCGGGCGCCCGCGGUGGGGCCCAGGGGCGCCCGGGGGGUAAACCCCGGGGCCGCCCGCCGAAGCAACGGUAUAGGUAACGUUCACAAUGGUUUAGGGAGUUUUGCAACUCUGUAAUGAUCCCUCCGCAGGUCACCCUACGGAA
rnacentral:misc_RNA from 1 species